CCUACCUUUAACUGGGGCAUAGCUCCGAGAAAUCGGAAUUAAUUCCCCAUAACUUUUCAGAGGGGCAUCUUUCAGAAAAUAAAGCUUCGGCGGUUAAAGAUGGACAUGCGGCUCAUUAGCUAGUUGGUGAUGGUAACGGCUCACCAAGGCUUCGAUGGGUAGCUGGUCUGAGAGGAUGAUCAGCCACACUGGCACUGAGACACGGGCCAGACUCCUACGGGAGGCAGCAGUAGGGAAUAUUGGGCAAUGGACGAAAGUCUGACCCAGCCAUGCCGCGUGCAGGAUUGACGGCACUAAGUGUUGUAAACUGCUUUUAUUCGGGAAGAACAAGUUCUGUUCUCAGAGCUCUGACGGUACCGAGUGAAUAAGGACCGGCUAACUCCGUGCCAGCAGCCGCGGUAAUACGGAGGGUCCAAGCGUUAUCCGGAUUUACUGGGUUUAAAGGGUGCGUAGGUGGCUUGAUAAGUCAGUGGUGAAACCCUACAGCUCAACUGUAGAACUGCCAUUGAAACUAUUUGGCUUGAGUAUAGUUGAGGCGGGUGGAAUGUAUCAUGUAGCGGUGAAAUGCUUAGAGAUGAUACAGAACGCCGAUUGUGAAGACAGCUCGCUAAACUAUUACUACACUGAGGCACGAAAGCGUGGGUAUCGAACAGGAUUAGAUACCCUGGUAGUCCACGCCCUAAACGAUGAACACUAGAUGUAUGCAACUUAGUUGUACGUGUCCGAGCGAAAGCGUUAAGUGUUCCACCUGGGGAAUACGGCCGCAAGGUUAAAACUCAAAGGAAUUGACGGGGGCCCGCACAAGCGGAGGAGUAUGUGGUUUAAUUCGAUGAUACGCGAGGAACCUUACCUGGACUAGAAUGCGCGUGACGUCCGCUGAAAGGCGGAUUCUCUUCGGAGCACAAAGCAAGGUGCUGCAUGGCUGUCGUCAGCUCGUGCCGUGAGGUGUUAGGUUAAGUCCUUCAACGAGCGCAACCCUUAUCCUUAAUUGCUAACGGGUAAUGCUGAGCACUUUAAGGAAACUGCCUGCGUAAGCAGUGAGGAAGGAGGGGAUGACGUCAAGUCCGCAUGGCCCUUACGUCCAGGGCUACACACAUACUACAAUGGUUGAUACAGAGUGUUGCCACUUGGUGACAAGGAGCUAAUCACUAAAAUCAACCUCAGUUCGGAUCGGAGUCUGCAACUCGACUCCGUGAAGUUGGAGUCGCUAGUAAUCGCUCAUCAGCUAUGGAGCGGUGAAUACGUUCCCGGGCCUUGUACACACCGCCCGUCAAGCCAUGGGAGUUAGAAGUACCUGAAGUCGAUAACCGGAAGGAGUCGCCCAAGGUAAAUCUGAUGACUGGGGCUAAGUCGUAACAAGGUA
rnacentral:rRNA from 1 species